UGUUCACAGUGGCUAAGUUCAGUGUCUGGA
rnacentral:miRNA from 1 species